CCGCUCCUGAGGCCUCGGCCGCAGGGACCACCUCCCGCCGGGGACGCGGGGCUGCGCACCACGCGGCGGGUCCCUGGCCGAGGGCCGCGGGGCCAGCAUGUGCAGAACCAGACCCUUCCCGGGCCCGCGUCCCCUUCAGCCGCGGGGAGCCGAGCCUCCGGAAGCAGGGGGCCAGGCACACAGGAUGUGGUGGCAAAGAAACAGAGGUGCGGAGUGAAGAUUCCAGAGACGGAGACGUGACCUGGAGGGAGAGGAUUUCACCAGAGGUGAAGCACAUUUACAAGAAGCUUUGAACAUCUGGAGUUCGACGUCUACUCGAGGUAAAUCGGCAAAGGAAACAUCAUCGCCCACAAUUAUAAACUGCGGAUGCAGCACCCAGAGAGGAUAUUUGGACUUGGAGUGAUAAUGUCAAUGGACUAUCACUUCCAAGUUGAUCACUGUUGUAUCUCCGUGCAGAGCCAACGCCACAGUGACUUGAAAAUAUGAACCCUAGAAAGCAUGUCCACAAAAUUACAGAUGUUAAAGUGAAAAAAAAAAGCACCAGCAACUAGGCAUGGUUUAACCGGUCACCUGAGUGGACACAGAAGGUUAAGACCACUCACUCCAGGCAGAAUCCACGCUAUGAAUUGAGAGAAUGGGCUAAACCUAGCCUAACCCUAUGAACAGCCUUCACUAAAUAACUAAAAAGCUAUCCGUUGAUUUUUCAGUGAAGGGGACCUUCCUAAGCAGCACCUAAACGGCGGUGAUGCCGACAGCCCUGAGUGUUAGACAACGCGCGGAUCCCCGUGGCUGCGACGGUUCCUCUUCUCCCAUCUGUGCCUUCUGGUGACGGCACUGAACGUCCCCGGGCUCCGCACACGCGUCCCUCCUUCCCGAGAAGAGCCUGCCGGGAGCGGAGCAGCCCUUGGGGCUCCUCAGGGGACCACCCUGCAGUUUGCGAAGUGCCCCCUGACACAGCUGUACACCCGGGGCCCUGCCGCGAGGACCAGAGAAAAAGAGGACGUCCAGGUUUGCUUUAACACGCUGACGCAAAGAGAAAGAGGGACGUGAACAAAUGUGGCAGCAUUUCUUUCAUCACCGAAUCUGCCCUUUGGGUAUAUGAUGUUCACGUCUGCAGAUGCCUGAAAUUUCUCAUGAUAAAAUUUUUAUCACAAGGUAAAGGGGUACCAAGGCCAGGCAUAGGACGUCUGUCAAUUCCAGGUAAAGAGGGUGAAAGCCCAAGAACCCCUCCACAUACGCCAGCACUCUCCCUUUGCCACGCGGGUCCACCCUCCACCCUGCUCUGGGUCCCCGGAAAUCCCCCUCCACGAACCAAGAAGGACCAGAAAGACGGGUUUGCAACUGCUCAUUAGGCUGGGAUGGUGGUGACAGCACCGUUCCUGGGGCACCUGCAUGAUGACAGAUGCUCUGGGCUGUGGGUGGGCCAUCAAAGGACGGCAGGGCUUUGUGCUGGUUUCCAGAGGAUGGGGGGAUGAGAGCAAUGGUGACCUUUUCCACAUCAGAUACCAUACAAGUGUCUUGCAUUCCCUGUCUCUGGUCUAACAUUAUUAUAGGCAUUAUUUUCCCAUGUUAUGAAAAGAGGUGACUUAUUCAAGGCUGCAUGACUAGUAAAUGGGAUUCAAACCAAGUAUGUCUGGCUCAAAAGUGUAUCCUCUUUCCAUGACACAAUUUGUUUUCCUUUAAAGGAGCUGGAGGGUGCUUGUUGGGUUGGUUUUGUUUUGUUUGGAUGCAGAGGUAGGUAGCUAAGGAAGAAAGGAGAGAGACGAUGUAGAAGGGACAGGACGGGACCCAUCCUCCCCUCCCUGGUCCCACACGAGGGACUGGUGUGGAGCCUGUGAGGACAGAGGUGAAGGACUAGUGUCUUGAGAUACUGGCUGGGAAUAAGCCGAGGCAGCACUGCCUCUCUCCUAAGCAACAGAAUCAGCCCGGGCUUGGGGAGGAGCCGCCGCGCUUCCCGACCUCCCAUCCACAGCUUGCAGUCACUUUGGUCCCAAGGGGUCUAUUGGGAUAAAGUCUUACAGGGGCAUCAGCUGCAGGGGUCAUGACAAGUGCCCUUGACCGAGAGGCUCAAGUGGAAAGAACAUGAGCACAUUUGUUCCUGAGCCCGUAGGAGAUGUCACCACCCUGAGGACACCCAGAAAUAGCUGGCGGAGAAUUCAAGCCGACAAGAAGAGCCAUGGGGGUGGAGGUCUUCUCAACAGGUGAAGAUUUGGAGCCAUGGAGACAUGAGUGUAAAUACUAAUUGACCUUAUUUAUACUCAUGAAUGACCGAAACCUAGGAGGUGCGGAAUACUUGCUAAUCCACCUGUUCUUUCUCCGGGACCCUACCUCCCUGGCUCUGUUCCUGGGUUACUGCCGCCAGAUCCAUGGCUCCAUCAGAAGGCAGGGCUGGCUGGUUCUGUGCGCACCUGCUCUUCCCCGUCUGCGCUUAGUGCUCGUACACUUGGACUCUGCUUACCUGCCUGCUCUCCUGAAGACCUGACUCUGCUCUCUCAUCUGCAUCUGUGUUACUCCUCUUAUGCGAUAAUAGAAAAUAAAUAUUUGGUCUUCACCUCUGGGUCCUGGCACAAAGCUCCUACAACUCUAGGGAUUUCCUGCGUGCUGAGUGUCUUUUGUAUGCUGAUGCGGUAAUUCGUGGCAGGGCCCCCAGAUAGGCUCAGACGGGGGCGCAGAGAGUUGGUCACCAAAGGAACCAACCACGUGAUUAGAGGGUAGGAACGUUCUGACCUGUUCUGACCUCCAGGGAGGGGAGAAGGACUAGAGACUAAGUUCAACCUCCAAUGGCCAAUGAUUUAAUCAAUCACACCAACAAGAUGGUGCUUCCUGGGAACGGCAAAACCACCGCCAGGCUGGUGAGCACAUGGAGGUGCUUGCGGGGGGGGGGCGGGGCUGCACCUGGAGAGGGCCUGGGAGUUCUGCACACCCGCUGCCCCCAAAUCUUAACCUAGGCAUCUCUUCCAUGAGCUGUUCCUGAGUUGUAUUCUUUAUAAUAAACUGUAAUUGUAAGUAAAGAGCUUUCUGGGUU